rnacentral:tRNA from 1 species
GGGCGGUUAGCUCAGCGGUAGAGCACUACCUUGACAUGGUAGUGGUCACAGGUUCGAACCCUGUACCGCCCACCA